ensembl:lncRNA
CCACUUCCUAAUUUGACUUAGGCCAAAAUGGCCAAAUGGCCUGCUUUCUGCUUUUGUACUUCUCAGGUCAUUUAUAAGAAAUGUGUUCCAUACAUUUCCAUGGCCUCAAGUCUGUGCUGAGCUUGUUGAUUCCAUUCAAAUGACAGCAUGCUGACCAUAUUAAUUGUGAGAUUGGAAUCCCCCCUUAGACACCAUCACAACAAUCAAUUUCCCAAAAUCCCUUAUGAGUCAUGAAUAUGUUUUGGUGAAUCUUGCUUAAACCUUACGACUUGUAAAAUAGUGAGGGGAAGCAGAAGACCUCUCUCUGACUCAUGCCCUUUCGCAUAGUCAUGCGAAAGGACAAAAAGAAAAAGGAAACCAUACUUUCAAGGUCUUCGCUGAAUUAUGAAAGAAAAUUGGUUGAACUAAUGUGUGAAUCAACAGACAGUAUGAUCCUAGAGCGACCUAAUUCAGUGAAGAGUUGUUGCUAUAUUUUGUUCUGUAUUCACACAGCCGCCUGCCUCUUACCCCUUAGGUUUGAGAUAGAAACAUGUGUGUAGGCUGGGCCGAAUAGCAGAACUGACGGAUAGAAAAGUUGUUUUACGGAAUGAGGAAAAACAUCUUUCGUAUCUUGGCUGUCGAUUGCAGUUACUGAUACACACAUUCGGGUCCACUGUCGCAAAUUCCUUUCUCGGUUGUCACCACACAAUUCACAUGCAACACACUGUACCUCCAUCACACAUUGAGCAGGCUGAAUUCUGGGUUCGGACUUCACACCACCAUACUUACUGUGGUUUUAGUGUGCAUGAUAUUAAUUGGGAUGUUUUCAUCCAACCAAAUAAAGAGUUGUACUUUAAAUGUAUGGUGUGAUGACUGCCAACAUAAUGGGUUGUGGAACGGACAACAAGGUUGAUUAUGCUUUACAUUUUAUGGAAAGCUGGCGUCUCUCCUUAAUACUCAUCUCAACUGUUGUUGUACAUUGCUAAUGCAAUGAAUGUUAUGUUGUUGAUAAUUCUACCCUAAUAAUAUUUGCAUAAGUUGUAUUUCUAGUUUUUUGCCUUCCAUCAUGAAGGGAAGGCAUACAUGUUAGAGUAUAUUCACAUAAUUAGUGUAAUAUUUAGAUAACCUCUUGACGUAUUGAUAAUUCAGCAUCAGUACUUCAGUAAUGUACACAAUAGGACCAACACUUCUUAAACAAAGACCCAACACCUUGUCUCACAUCGGUAUGAAAUUGGCUUGGAGGACACAUUUCAACAGACAAACUACAGGAGAACCAAACAAGCUGAGAUUACGAUCAAGACCCAUCCAGUCAAAUCCCCUGCCUUAACGAAUCUCUGGCUCUCUCUGUGUUGGUUUUGGUGUUUGCCAGCCGUGGGGCAGGUGCGCAGUGCAGUGUGCGAGGUGCACACAUGUUGAGGGGGUUGGUAAACAUGUCGUGAGGUUCCUGUCAGUAGGGUCAGGGGUCGCCAGCUAGUAUGUGGAGCACGCAAAAGGCAAACUGUAUCGCUCUUUUGCUCUCCCAGCUUCUUCUUCU